rnacentral:rRNA from 1 species
UACGUAGGGGGCGAGCGUUGUCCGGAUUUAUUGGGCGUAAAGAGCGUGUAGGCGGCCUAGGUAGGUCUGCUGUGAAACAUCGAGGCUCAACCUCGAGACGUCGGCGGAAACCAUCUGCUAGAGUCCGGAAGAGGAGAGUGGAAUUCCUGGUGUAGCGGUGAAAUGCGCAGAUAUCGAGGAAGAACACCGUGGCGAAGGCGGCUGCUCUGGGACGGUACUGACGCGAAGACGCGGAAAGCGUGGGGAGGCGAACAGGAUUAAGACUACCGAGUC